AGAAAUUGCUUGCGAACUGCUAGAACAUCAAAGUAAUGCUGAUGACUACUGUGUGGUUUGUUCCAUGCUGGAAGCCGAUCCUGAGUCCAGUAUGAUUGAAAUGGUGCAGUGUGAGUUUUGUCUCAGAUGGGCACAUUUUGGAUGUGCUCAAUAUGAGAGCAGCCUGGUCAAGUACUUGUGUAAAAAAAUGUGCAUAAUUUGUUAUGAAUACUGUUUCUUUUCCACUUCUUUCUCCCUGUGUUCUGUUGGAUCUAUAAAUGUCAAAUAUAUAUAUCUGUAAAUAUAUUCAGUAAAUAUAUACUGUAACUAUAA